rnacentral:lncRNA from 1 species
GAGAACCUUUGUGUCUAGCUCAGGGAUUGUAAACGCACCAAUCAGCGCCCUGUCAAAACAGACCACUCGGCUCUACCAAUCAGCAGGAUGUGGGUGGGGCCAGAUAAGAGAAUAAAAGCAGGCUGCCCCAGCCAGCAGUGGUAACCUGCUGGGGUUCCCUUCCACGCUGUGGGAGGUUUGUUCUUUCGCUCUUUGCAAUAAUUCUUGCUGCUGCUCACUCCUUGGGUCCACACUGCCUUUAUGAGCUGUAACACUCACUGUGAAGGUCUGCAGCUUCAGUCCUGAAGCCAGCGAGACCACGAGCCCACCAGAAGGAACGAACGACUGCAGACGUGCCGCCUUAAGAGCUAUAACACUCACCUCGAAGAUCCGCAGCUUCACUCCUGAGCCAGCGAGACCAAGAACCCACCAGAAGGAAGAAACUGCCAACACAUCCGAACAUCAGAAGGAACGAGCUCCAGACACGCAGCCUUUAAGAACUGUAACACUCACUGCGAGGGUUCGCGGCUUCAUUCUUGAAGUCAGUGAGACCAAGAACCCACCAAUUCCGGACCCACUGGCAUUACAGGCGUGAAUCACUGUGUCUGGCCAAAAAGGAUCUAAUCUUAUAGCAGUGGAAUGAGGGGGAAGCCCAGCAAGGCCCAUCUGUUUGGAGUCUUCCUGGACUUCUGGGGCCUGACCCUUUUGGAACGGGGGUUUUAAGAUUCAUAAUCGACAAAGUUGUUCCUACUUUGGCCAUUGGAGCUCUUUCCAGUUAGCUUCUCUUCCUUGGACAGCUUCCAUACGUUUUUGAGCACUUCCUUAUUUCUGACACCAGAAGAUGACUCAGGCUUGACUUGUAUUCUCCCCGUCCAACAAUGGAAUCUGCCAUUUCUCCAAGGAGCCCUGAUUCCUUUUAUUUGAGCGUGGUACAUAGAAGCUGAGCAACUUUUUCUCUCUUUCUAAUAAAUGCUAAUUCAGGAAAAAUAAAAAACUUAUAAAACAAAACUUCUCCUCUCAAAAUAAAAAUAAU